UACGUAGGGGGCAAGCGUUGUCCGGAAUCAUUGGGCGUAAAGAGCGUGUAGGCGGCCUGGUAAGUCCGCUGUGAAAGUCCAGGGCUCAACCCUGGAAUGCCGGUGGAAACUGUCAGGCUCGAGUCCGGAAGAGGCGAGUGGAAUUCCUGGUGUAGCGGUGAAAUGCGCAGAUAUCAGGAGGAACACCAAUGGCGAAGGCAGCUCGCUGGGACGUUACUGACGCUGAGACGCGAAAGCGUGGGGAGCAAACAGG
rnacentral:rRNA from 1 species